rnacentral:tRNA from 1 species
GGUUGUGGCUCAGUGGCAGAGUGCUUGCCCCUCACAUGUGAGGCACUGGGUUCGAUCCUCAGCACCA